CCGUAGGUGAAACCUGCGGAGGGAUCAUUACAGAGUUGCAAAACUCCCUAAACCAUUGUGAACGUUACCUUCAAACCGUUGCUUCGGCGGGCGGCCCGGGUCCGCCCGGUGCCCCCUGGCCCCCUAGCGGGGCGCCCGCCGGAGGAAAACCCAACUCUUGAUUAUUAUGGCCUCUCUGAGUCUUCUGUACUGAAUAAGUCAAAACUUUCAACAACGGAUCUCUUGGUUCUGGCAUCGAUGAAGAACGCAGCGAAAUGCGAUAAGUAAUGUGAAUUGCAGAAUUCAGUGAAUCAUCGAAUCUUUGAACGCACAUUGCGCCCGCCAGUAUUCUGGCGGGCAUGCCUGUUCGAGCGUCAUUUCAACCAUCAAGCCCCGCGCUUGUGUUGGGGACCUGCGGCUGCCGCAGGCCCUGAAAACCAGUGGCGGGCUCGCUGUCACACCGGGCGUAGUAGAUUUUAUCUCGCUCAGGGCGUGCUGCGGGUUCCGGCCGUUAAAAAGCCUUUUUUACCCAAGGUUGACCUCGGAUCAGGUAGGAAUACCCGCUGAACUUAAGCAUAUCAAUAAGCGGAGGA
rnacentral:rRNA from 1 species